rnacentral:rRNA from 1 species
CGGCGAGUGAAGCGGGAAGAGCUCAAGCUUAAAAUCUCCGUGCAAGUUUUGUGCGGCGAAUUGUAGUCUAUAGAGGCGUGGUCAGCGUGGGCGCUUGGGGCAAGUUCCUUGGAAGAGGACAGCAUGGAGGGUGAUACUCCCGUUCAUCCCUGAGUGGCUCGUGCGUACGACCCGUUUUCUUUGAGUCGCGUUGUUUGGGAAUGCAGCGCAAAGUAGGUGGUAAAUUCCAUCUAAAGCUAAAUAUUGGUGCGAGACCGAUAGCGAACAAGUACCGUGAGGGAAAGAUGAAAAGAACUUUGAAAAGAGAGUUAAAGAGUACCUGAAACUGCUGAAAGGGAACCGAAUCGUUUCCAGUGUCUAUAAUCUGUGGCAUAUUUCAUUGGCGAGCGUUUGCGUGCGUGUGCUGUGGCAGUGGCUUUUUUGGCUGCGCCUGGUGUGUGUGGUGUGAGUGUUUGCUGGUGCCCUGUGCUGCGGUGGGACGUCAAGGUCAGUUCGUAUGCUGCGGGAAAUGGCUGCCGAGGAGGUAGGGCUUACGCUCCGCGUUUGUCUGUUAUAUCUUGGUGGACGAGUCGUCGCGGUUGGGACUGAGGUGCCUACAACGUGCUUUUGAGUGGGUUUGUGUCUCCGUGUGCGCCCGUGUGCGGAUAGCUUGCUAUGCGUGUGUGGUUGUGUGUGGAUUGAUGCGGGCCUUAAACUUGUC